GGAUGAACGCUAGCGAUAGGCUUAACACAGGCAAGUCGAGGGGCAGCAUGGUCUUAGCUUGCUAAGACUGAUGGCGACCGGCGCACGGGUGCGUAACGCGUAUGCAACUUGCCUCACAGAGGGGGAUAACCCGUCGAAAGACGGACUAAUACCGCGUACACUUGGGAUAGGGCAUCCUGACCCAAGGAAAUGAAAUUCGCUGUGAGAUAGGCAUGCGUCCCAUUAGCUAGUUGGUGAGGUAACGGCUCACCAAGGCGACGAUGGGUAGGGGAACUGAGAGGUUGCACCCCCACACUGGUACUGCGCCACGGACCAGACUCCUACGGGAGGCAGCAGUGAGGAAUAUUGGUCAAUGGGCGAGAGCCUGAACCAGCCAAGUCGCGUGAAGGAUGACUGUCUUAUGGAUUGUAAGCUUCUUUUAUACGGGAAUAACAAGAGCCACGUGUGGCUCCCUGCCUGUACCGUAUGAAUAAGCAUCGGCUAACUCCGUG
rnacentral:rRNA from 1 species